CAGAGCGUUUACAGAAACAUUGAGUUUUAAAGUGUGUGCUUGGCUUAUGGGGGCCUGCACCUAUCAUCCUAACACUUGGAGGCAAAGAGAGAAGGAUCAUCAGGAGUUGGAGGCCUGUCCAUUCUACACAGUGAGUUCUAGGCCAGUCAGGCCUGCACAGUUUCUCUCUCCCUCUGUCUGUCUCUGUCUCUCUGUCUGUUUCUCUCUCAUGUGUGCAUGUGUGUGUAUAUGUGUGUGUCUCCUCUGCCUCCCCCCUCUCCUUUCCCUUCUCCCUCUUCUCUCCUUUCUCCUCCCUCUCUCUGUCUCUGUCUCUCCCUCUCCUCUCUUAUCUGGUUCUAGGGUCUUUUUUUCCUAAUUCUACAUGACACUAACAUGUUUCUGUUAUGAUGCUACACUAGAGGGAAAGAAUGAAAUCCAACAAAUCUACUCAAACCUUAGCAUUGCUAGUGCUUUCCUUGGAUGAGCAGUACCUACCUUUUGACAGAUUAGCAAACUGAAAACUUGCCGCAAACCCCAAACCUCAGGCCCUAUGCACCCAGACCUUUCCUCAGCCAUUCAAAUCUACAUUUGGUUUAUUUUUAGACUUUAAAUAUCAACUUACUUUUGUAUGCAUAUGUGUGUGUUAACUGCUGUGUCUUCCCCUCCACCUUAUGUUUUAAGAUAGGGUCUUUACCCUGGAAUGCGCCAAUUGGCUUGACUAGAUGACCAGAAGCAAACUCUGUGGAGAUUUCUUUCUCUUCCUCUGCCCUCCUAUCCUCCCUCAGAAUGCCAGGGCUACAGACAUCUGCUACCAUGUCCAGAUGUUUUCAAUGAGUGCCAGGGAUUCGAACUCGGGUCCUCCUGCUUGCACGACAGGUACUUCACUGACCAAGCCAUCUCCCCAGACCCCAGAUACAAUGUGAUUGGAAUGAAAAUUCUAGACAUUUGACGUGUUGGACUUUGUUCAAUUUAGGUGGGGGGCAACUGGCUCUCAAUUGCACAGCUAUUUUCGGUGCCUGCUUCUGUUGUCUUAGAGUUUUGUUGAAGGAUUGACGCAUGCAUAACCUUUCUCUGCUCAUCUUCCUCCUGGCUGAGCAGAAAGCAUCAAAGAAGAGUUCGGAGAAGCUGGGAAUAAUUGCAAUGGAAGCAAAAUCCCUCUGGAGAAUAGGAGGACCUAAAAAGGAUCCUAGUUAAGGUAGCUAAUAAUUGGCUAUCCAAUAGCAAAUGCCAUGUCCCCCCACUAAAUGGAAGAUUUCAUAGCAAUAAUAAAAAUAUUCAAAUUUCUCCAUGUGAUCCCAAAGGAAAAUGCAUUCCGUUUUGUGUCAUGGCUAUACAUGUGAUCAGCUGCGUUUUCCUUUCUAUUCUGUGUGUAUCACAACAAAACAUAUUCCUUAUGUUCUUAAAGCUAUUGGAAGGUAAAUGCUACCUUUCGGGGCACCCUUUAUCUUGUUUUCAGCUGUAUGAGAAAAAUGCUACAUGACUCCCCCCCCCCCAAAGCUUCUGUCUUUUUUAUGCAUUCUUAAUUUCAUAGGCCAAUCGAUUCAAACCCAUUUAAAAUCUCAAUGGGCCAGAACUUGGCAUGCACGGUGGCUGGCCAGGUGCAAGUGACUCUUCGAAAUAUGACAAAAGUCAUGGCUGAAAUAUAGAGCGGCGAAAACGUUGGAGAGGUUUGCCAAGCUCCAGCCAAACAAGGCUGACUGCUAUUAGCAAGGGGCAGAGGGGCAAGCUGGGGGGUGGGCCAGAAUGUGGGCAUCCCGCCAUUGGCAUAAUGAUCAAUCCAACUCUUUAAAUUAAAACAGAACACGGUGCUACUAUCCCAUUCGUUUUCAAAUGUUUCCAGAGAGGCUUAUGUUUUAUUUUAUUUUUUUAAUAAAGGUGAUACAGAGAUGAUAAAAAUGCAGAACCCAAAUGAGUCUGGGAGGCAAGAGUGGGAAGAUAUUACUAAUGACCUUAAGGCCUGUGAUUUCUGACAUUCAGAGUGUUUGUCCGUGCGACACCACCGAAUUCAAUUUCCAGCCACAGGAAGCAUCCCUGUGAUCCACAGAGUUUAUGUGCCAGUUCGCAGAUGAUGCAAGGCAUCCUUUGAAAUAAUGGAGACUGAUUUCACAGAUCCUUCAUGUAUCACCAGCCCUGAGUCACAGUGCGGAGUGAAACCUUGUGUCUUCUGCCCCUGCGAAAAGGAAGCAACCGGAGAAGUCUCCCCAAUGGAAGCCUCUCUUCUGCGGAUUGGAGGCUGGUUAGCAAUUGAGCCAUGGAAUCUCUCUGUGGGCCUUUGUGGCUUAGCAGCUGGAGCUUUGUGUCCUGAUUUAGCUGACCUAAAAUCUGCAGGCUCCCAGCUCCCCGAGCAUUGGCUGCGCUGCCCUGGGUCUCCUCUUCGUGCGCGGUCCUUGAUUCACUCUCAGGCUUACCAGUCUCCUGACAAGAGGAGCAGCUGGCUAUCUACUGUCCAUAGACAGGGAGUCAGAAAGCAAACGUAGAGACAGCAUGCUGAGGUUCUCAAAAUCAAACAAGGACUUUGAAGUGCAUCCCGGUUUUUAAUUUCAUAUUGAACCAUGUUGUGUAAAGGUGUGUUUUUUGAUUUUUUUUUAUUUUUUAUUUUUUAUUUUUUAUUUUUUUUGUACCUGGCCAUUUGACUGUUUCCCAUGUUGACAAGCAUAUUGUCUCCUGACAUACCUAGUCUGGUUCCUGUCUCCAACGUUACCCUACCUCUUACUGGCUUGUGGAUAAACUCUUCUUUUUUUUUU